GGCAGUGUAGCAUAAAGACUCUAUUAAUGCUUUUCAUUUACAUUGAAAAGGAUCUCAGUAUUUGAGCACUGCUU
rnacentral:tRNA from 1 species